CUUGUGGGUAUGUAUGCGAUCCUGCUAUACAUGAUGCAGACGUGUCCUCCAUCUGUCACAGGAGCCGGCACACUCCUCGUGCCCCAUUCACCACAGAGGCCAGGCAGUGGGCACUAUUGAUUUGGAAGCAAACCAGAGAGCCUCCCUCGGCUUGUCUCUCAUAAGAACCAUGGUGGCCUUUUUGGCAGAGUCUUUGCUAACCUGUCCUCUCAUUGUCCCAGAGCUUUGCAGUCAGGUCUGAGCCUUUGAAUGACUCAGUUAGCUUAGAUUCAAGUGGAGCCCCUGUUCCUAAUGAAUGCAUGAGGACAAGCACUGUAUCAUGAAUGCUAUCCCAAAGUGGUGUGUGCUGUUUUGGUGGGCAACUCUACCAGGACUAGAAUGCCUAAACAAAGAUCACUGGGUGAUGCCUCGCAGCCUAGGGCCCAGGAGAUUCCUGCUGGGUGGGAUGGCUUAGGCGGCCUCAGAAGACCUUUCUAAUUCCAACACCAAAUCCACAUCCUUCCUCGCUUUGUCUCAGAAGAGUGCUGGGGUGACCAGUAAACUUGGAUUUGUCUCCAGAUAAGAACAGCAUGACCUUGGAAAGUUCUCUGAGUCUGAUUUUCCUUAUCGGUAAUAUGGGCUUACAAAUAUACGCAUGAUCAUCAUCCUCCUAGGGUUGUUGUUGUGAGGUGUGUAUGACACUGGAAAGGGCCUAGCAAACCUCAGGGUGCUGUCCUGAGAACUAAGGACCAUCUGUCCCUAGGCCUGGUUCAUAUGUCAGGAAUCUGUCUCCAUGUAGAGUUAGAACAACUGAAGGCUCACCUUGCAGUUGGGCCAUUUUCUUCUUAUUUUCACAAGGGGUUUACAAGAACAAACAUGCUCCCCCUUUUUUUCUUUAGCUCCCCAGCUGCUCACAAGAGACGGCUGAUCCCCUUUCACAAAGUGGGGACCAACUGAGUAUGUGGCCUGGAGCCUCUCUCAUCCCCACUCCUGCCAUUUCCAGGUACAUAGGUUUCUUCCAUGAAGGUAAAUGACAAUUCUGUAACUUUCAAUUGGAUCAUAAAUGAGCCAUCCCUUGGCAGUUUGGGGGCCUGGAGACAAGGUGAGGCUCUCCUUUUCAUGCUAUUUUAAUGCUGUAUCUAGACAUUUCUCAGAGCAGGGGAAUGCUGUUUUCAUAAAUUCUCAGACUCUCCCCUCAAAAGACACAUUGCUUUAACUUUCCCUCUUACUUCCCCAGAUAGCCUGGUUCUUUAUCCCCUUGCUCAGAGUUGGAUAUGAGAUUCCUUUGUGGAGUAAGCCCUGAUUUUAAUGUCACAUAUAUUUGCUUUAAAAAGCCAAGGUCUGCCACUUACCAGUGGGAGGACCCGGGCAAAUUGCUUAACCUCUUUGACUCUUAAUUUUCUCAUCUUUGAAAUGGAGAUGUUGAGUCUCAAGAACUAUGAUUGUCCAUAGAAGUAAAUGUGAUCAUUAAUGCAAACACCCAGCCAAGUGCCUGGCACUUGGGGAGUUGUCAUCUCUUUCUUGUUAAUGUAAUUAUUAUUGCACAACAAAGGUUUAUUGAGUGGUUGAUGUGAAGAUGAAUAAAACAUGUUCU
rnacentral:lncRNA from 1 species